GACGAACGCUGGCGGCGUGCCUAAUACAUGCAAGUUGAGCGCUGAAGGUUGGUACUUGUACCCACUGGAUGAGCAGCGAACGGGUGAGUAACGCGUGGGGAAUCUGCCUUUGAGCGGGGGACAACAUUUGGAAACGAAUGCUAAUACCGCAUAAAAACUUUAAACACAAGUUUUAAGUUUGAAAGAUGCAAUUGCAUCACUCAAAGAUGAUCCCGCGUUGUAUUAGCUAGUUGGUGAGGUAAAGGCUCACCAAGGCGAUGAUACAUAGCCGACCUGAGAGGGUGAUCGGCCACAUUGGGACUGAGACACGGCCCAAACUCCUACGGGAGGCAGCAGUAGGGAAUCUUCGGCAAUGGACGAAAGUCUGACCGAGCAACGCCGCGUGAGUGAAGAAGGUUUUCGGAUCGUAAAACUCUGUUGGUAGAGAAGAACGUUGGUGAGAGUGGAAAGCUCAUCAAGUGACGGUAACUAUCCAGAAAGGGACGGCUAACUACGUG
rnacentral:rRNA from 1 species